GACGAACGCUGGCGGCGUGCGUAACACAUGCAAGUCGAACGGUGAAGCUCCAGCUUGCUGGAGUGGAUCAGUGGCGAACGGGUGAGUAACACGUGAGCAACCUGCCCCUGACUCUGGAAUAAGCGCUGGAAACGGCGUCUAAUACUGGAUACGAGAAGGGUCCGCAUGGGCACUUUCUGGAAAGUUUUUCGGUUGGGGAUGGGCUCGCGGCCUAUCAGCUUGUUGGUGAGGUAAUGGCUCACCAAGGCGACGACGGGUAGCCGGCCUGAGAGGGCGACCGGCCACACUGGGACUGAGACACGGCCCAGACUCCUACGGGAGGCAGCAGUGGGGAAUAUUGCACAAUGGGCGAAAGCCUGAUGCAGCGACGCCGCGUGAGGGAUGACGGCCUUCGGGUUGUAAACCUCUUUCAGCAGGGAAGAAGCGAAAGUGACGGUACCUGCAGAAGAAGCACCGGCUAACUACGUG
rnacentral:rRNA from 1 species